rnacentral:rRNA from 1 species
UACAGAGGAGCCAAGCGUUGUCCGGAUUGACUGGGCGUAAAGCGCACGCAGGCGGAUGCGCGCGUGGGGUGUGAAAUCUGGCCGCUUAACGGCCAGGCGCCAUCCCAUACGGCGCGUCUGGAGUGAUGCAGAGGUCGGUAGAAUUGCCGGUGUAGUGGUGAAAUGCGUAGAGAUCGGCAGGAACACCCAGGGGGAAACCAGUCGACUGGGCAUCUACUGACGCUGAGGUGCGAGAGCGUGGGGAGCGAACCGG